UACGAAGGGGGCUAGCGUUGCUCGGAUUGACUGGGCGGAAAGGGCGCGUAGGCGGUUUGCAUAGUCAGACGUGAAAUUCCUGGGCUUAACCUGGGGGCUGCGUUUGAUACAUGCAGGCUUGAGUUCGGAAGAGGGUCGUGGAAUUCCCAGUGUAGAGGUGAAAUUCGUAGAUAUUGGGAAGAACACCGGUGGCGAAGGCGGCGACCUGGUCCGAUACUGACGCUGAGGCGCGAAAGCGUGGGGAGCAAACAGG
rnacentral:rRNA from 1 species